GAUGAAGAACGUAGCAAAAUGCGAUAAGUAGUGUGAAUUGCAGAAUUCAGUGAAUCAUCGAAUCUUUGAACGCACAUUGCGCCCCAUGGUAUUCCGUGGGGCAUGCCUGUUCGAGCGUCAUUUACCCCCUCAAGCUCCGCUUGGUGUUGGGCGUCUGUCCCGCUUCGCGCGCGGACUCGCCCCAAACGUAUUGGCAGCGGUCGUGCCAGCUUCUCGCGCAGCACAUUGCGCUUCUCGAGGCACCGGUGGGCCCGCGUCCAUCAAGCUCACCCCCCCAGUUUGACCUCGGAUCAGGUAGGGAUACCCGCUGAACUUAAGCAUAUCAAUAAGCGGAGGA
rnacentral:misc_RNA from 1 species